rnacentral:sRNA from 1 species
UUUUCGUCUGCAGAAAAGAGGAUGAGGACCUCCGAAAGAGGUUUGAGCCGAGCGUAGCGAGACAACGUUGCUUCAGCAACGGCCNACGUUGCUUCAGCAACGGCCCGCAGGGCGCGGCUCGCAGAGCAGUGUAAUCCUCUCUCGCCGACCA